rfam:Mus musculus chromosome 7 genomic contig MG3251_PATCH, GRC reference assembly FIX PATCH for GRCm38.
UGGCUCAGUGGUUAAGAGCACUGACUGCUCUUCCAGAGGUCCUGGGUUCAAUUCCCAG